rnacentral:rRNA from 1 species
UGAAGCAGAGGACAGUGGCGGACGGGUGAGUAACGCGUGAGGAACCUGCCUUUCAGAGGGGGACAACAGUUGGAAACGACUGCUAAUACCGCAUGAUACAUUUGGGUGGCAUCAUCUGAAUGUCAAAGAUUUAUCGCUGAAAGAUGGCCUCGCGUCUGAUUAGCUGGUUGGUGAGGUAACGGCCCACCAAGGCGACGAUGGGUAGCCGAUUUAAGAGGAUGAUCGGCCACAUUGGGACUGAGAUACGGCCCAGACUCC